UUCUCCCUUGCCCUAAGCCGACACCGCUCAUCCCCUCUCCUCUUUCCGCGGUCGUCGACCUCUCUCUCCUCACCCGAUCGUCACCGGUGAAGUCCUCAGCCGGCAAUGUUCUCGUGACCUCGAGGUUGUAGCAUCGUCUCCUCCCACACAACGCCAACUGACGAGCUCUCCCAAUCUUGUCAUCGCCGAUUGCCAUUGCCAAUCCUCUUCCGCUGUGGUCUCCGCUGUCACCGAGUGCAGUCAUCACCGAGUGCAGCCGUCGCCGGAAGGAAGGAGCAACACUAGCCUCCGCGUGCCUCUGCCCUAGUGCGACCGCCGCCCCAAUCUCCUCUUCCCUCCCGAGCCGCACACUGCCGCUUGACGCCGCCACCCUCUCUGACCACAGUCCAAUGUCGAGCCCUUCAUCUCCCGAUGCUCUCAGUUUCUUCUCGCAUCACACCGUCGAUCCUCCCUUCACUGAGUUCAACAGCCGUGUGACCUAAGCCCUGUCGGAGAGGGAACUGCCAAUUUAGGAUUACAGGAUAGUUGUAGAUUGUCGUUGUUGGCUGUAAGCCACUUCCAGUGCUACCUUGUUGCAAAUUUGGGGAUUUGAGUUGGAUGUGAUCUUUGAAUCUUGUUGAAGAUGGUUGACACGAGCUACGUAUAAAGGCGGGUACUUCUUACUUUGUC